rnacentral:lncRNA from 1 species
GAAAUAAUGUGGUGCUGAGGUUGAAUGGACCACAGCCAACUCCCUCUGCCUGGGAAGUGAAGAGGAAGAAUGAAUUGUUUUCUAGAGGAGAUGGUGCUGGUUGGAAAGAAAAUGUCCAAAGAGAUCGGUGGAUGUGGAGACUUGGUCUGGCACUUGUGAGCAACAGUGUCCUUCACCAAGGCAGAGAUGUAAAAGACUAUCAAAGAAAGACAGAGUUGAAAGACCAGUUCUUCAGGAAAUCAUGUGCAUAUCAGACUUCAGUUUCUUCAGCCAUUUUUCCAGGGAGCUUCCAGCCUUUGACCUCAGACUGGUGCUGUGUCCUUGAUCCUUCUUGUCCUGCAGCUUCCAGCUUCUUGGACUGAGCAGCUACUGGGUUCACCAGGUCUCUAGUGCAGAGGGCCACUGUGGACUCCCCUACCUCUGAUCUUCACACGGUGGUGUCAUGUGGAGGGGAUUAGAGGCACAAGAAAGAGUGGCAGAGAGAAACUGGGGGCAUGAAUUGUGAUUGGUGAUGGGACAAUGACAGUUUCUCCUCUGCAAUGUCCCUCUGUCAUGCCACUCUGCCUUGGAGCCAGUCAAUGUUGGACUGAAAUCUCUACAAACUAAGGCAUGACUGGGUUGGAACUCAAAACUUCCAUCAAGAAAAUCAAGAUUGUGGAAGAAGAGGACAAUGAUGAUCUGAAAUGACACUGUGGUGAUGGCACUGUCCAGAAGAAAGCCUGUCAUGGGGAACCUAAACUCAUACACUGGCAGUGACAUGGCUUCCUGAGAAUAGUCCGUACUACUCCAAGUAUUAGCUUUUGAUAUUAACAUUCACUUUAAUUUAAAUGUUACAAGUCUUGUUUAUCAUCAUGGUUAUAAAUAAGGACUAAAGAAUAUGAAGAUAGCAGGCUUGUGUAUGUCACCAGGUCACAAGCUCCAAACAAUCCAUCCAAAUUAUCAUACAUCUCUACCUAUUUAGAGACAAAGUUUUGAAGAAACUUAAAGGACCAAGAUCAGAAUUGCCUGACUAAAGUAAGGAUUUCUCUCUCAUCUAUCUAUAUAACGAAAAAUCUCUAUACAGUAUGCCAUCCAACCUUCAAUUCCAUAGAUACAAAUAACAUUUCCUAGGAUUAAUUAAAAAGAUUCUUACAAGACACUUAAGGUAAAUGAUGUUUUACAAAAACCACAGGAAAAAAGUGUAAUUACCAAAGCCAUUCUAGAUGUACUUUGUAACUCAAAAUGAGACAUAUGUUAUAGUAGAUCAAGUAAUCAUCCAUGCAUGCCAAAGGGGAAAAGGCAUGUGGAAAACUACACAAAUGUUUCAGAUGAGUUUUCCUAGAAGCUGAGACCAAGAUGAUAAUUCUUGAACAAGUGUUUUACUCAGAAGAAAUCUAUAAGGAAGGGAGGAAAGCAAGAAUAAUGCAGUAAUAAUGCAGCAAUAAUGUGGUUUCAGUUGAAAACUCACAUUAACUUGGCCUACGGGGAGCUCAGAAGUUGAACAGUGUCACAAAGAUAUCCAGCCUUGAAGAAAAGGGGACGAGCUUUUGUAUCCCAAUGUCAUUGGCUGUGAAGUGUCCCAACAGCAUUUCUGGUUGAGGAACUCAUGUUGGCUGAAGGAAGUUCUUCAGAGAAACACUCUUCUAUGAGCUGCCCUCAUAGGCACUGGGCAUGGUUCCAUUGACUGGUGAAGAAAAUCAGGACAAGGCACCAAAAGCAUUUAUUACAAGCUAUCCUUUGCACUGUUCAGAAUCACUUUCUCUUCCCUUUAAGAUCAUGGAAUUUGGGCAUGCUUUCUGUAGCAUUCUGAUUCAGAGACAGGAAUCUCCAAGAUCAAGGUACAACAGGGCCCAGCUUAUGAUGAAGACUUGCUUACAAAUGGCUGCCUUCUUUCUGCAACCUCAUAUGAUCUUUCUUCUGAGCACAUAAAGAGAGAAGGGGAGAGAGGAGCAGAGAAGGAGAGACACUCUCUCUCUUUCUAAAGUCGUUCCCAUACUAUUAAAUUGGGACCACCCUUAUGUCCUCACUUAAUCUUACUUAGCCCCUAAAAGCCCUAUCUGUGUAGUCAUAUUGGGGUUUAGGAAUUGGAGGAGUGCAUACUUCUGUCACAGUAAUGAGUGAGGAAGUUCUUGACUACACUACUAGUGAUAAUAAAAGGAAGAAAAAAGGAAAGGAUUUUCUGUGGUGUGUAUUUUCUCUUUUCUUUUCUUUUCA